AAUUGAACGCCGUUUAAAUAGGAUAGCUUAGUUGAAUGUCUGAGGCAACGAAGCGAAAACAAAUCAGAUAUACUUUUCAAAAUCCUGUUUGCCGGAGAUUGAAAAGCGUACAAUAAAAGACAGACUAUGUGUGUAGACGUUCGUUGAAGCAUAGCUUCGGACGCGGGUUCGACUCCCGCCACCUCCACAA
rnacentral:tmRNA from 1 species